AAUCAAUAAAUCAAAAUUAUUUUCCAAUUUGAUUUAAAAUAAUCAAUUAAGAAGAAGAGAACAAUUCUUCGAUCCAUCACUAAUCUAGAGUGAUCACGAGGAUGCAUAUUCCAGCUGAAAAGUGGAAAAAUUAUCCGAUUGAAGCAAAGGAUGAGUUAUUUAAGGAUUUUAUGGAGGAGGAGUUGAAACAUACAUUUUCGUUUAGAGACGUGUAUGCUCGAGUUCAUAAGAAAAAAGAUGGAGAAUAUGUCUCUCAACGAUCGAAGUUAUUUGUUGAGUCAUAAGACACGACUAUAUUGGAAAAGUAUGGAGAAGACUCUUCCACUCAUCCGAUGAUUGAUCCUAAAGUGUGGGUAGAAUUUUCUGGCCAGAAAAAGACAAGGCAUACAUUUAUGGAUCGUAGCUUAGAUGUUAGAAGAACUAUGUCUGCCCCAUUUGUUGAUGUCACUAGUCAUUCCAGAACCAUGGAGGAAGAUAUCAAGAAAGAUGUGGAUAAGGCAAUGACUUCUUUUGUCAAAACACAUUUGGCGCCAAUGUUGGAGCCAAUUCUUUCAUUGAUUCGAUCCAUGCCAAAAGCACCCAUGCAAAGUAAAGUACCUGAAAAAAUUCAUGGAGAUACAAGGUGAAAGAAUGUUUUCCAAUCUAUUUUGGAAACCAGAAUUAAUAUGGAACCUGAGUUGUGAUUUCUGAAUUGGAAAUAAAAUAGAAUAUUAUUGUAAUGUAUAAUGUUUUAGUAUUGUUAAAUAUAUUAAAAAAUUGAUUUUAGAAUA